GGUGUUUCCAUCCCCCUCAGCAGAGAGUCUCCAACCACCACUACCCUACGUUUCUUAUUAUCAGUGGUGGCAGCAGACCUCCCAGCCUUAGGGGUACGAGGCUUCCCCUCCUUAACUGUUGGGGGUGAUUCCUUCUCUCCUGUAUCAAGAAGAGCAUAACGGUUAUCUAUUACCACAGCAGGAGGGUUCGCAGCAGGGGUGGAGCACUAAGACUAAGGGGUGGACUAAGAAUAACAAUAAGAGGAAAGGCCGAAUAUGGAAAACUGAUUGUUCAGCUUGCUUUUGACCUGCAUCAUAUUUUGCAAUAUAUUCCAAAUAAGCAAGGUUUCCUGUUACCCAGCCUGAUGUGAUCUCCCAGCUGGAACAAGGGGAAGAGCCAUGGGUCCCAGAUCUCCAAGGCUGUGAGGAAAGAGAGAUCCUGAGAGCUCUCUGCACAGCAGGUGAUGCAAUGGCAUGUGAGAAAAAGGAGCAGAAUUCUCAGCAGGAAAAUGUUGAGCAAGUGGAUAAACACAGAGCAUUAUCGCAAAGAUUGAAAAGGAAUGUGUCCAGGAGUCAUGAGCAGGGAAAUUCCUUUGAGAUUCAGCACAGACCAGAAAGAGAGCAAGGAAACCAGCCAGGGGAGAAAUUGGAUGAAUGUAUUUCCUCUUGGGGAACUCAGAAGGUCCUCAUGGAAAUCACAACACAAAAGGAAAUCCUUAGGCGAACGAGAAAAAAUACAUGCACUGAGUGUGAGAAAAACUUCAUUCACAGAUCAAGCCUUUCUGUUCAUCUGAGAAUCCACACAGGGGAGAGGCCCUACGAAUGGCAUGAGUGUGUGGCAAAACCUUCAAUCGCAGCUCAAACCUUUCUAAACAUCGGAGAAUCCACGCAGGGGACAGGCCCUACAAAUGCAGUAAUUGUG